AGAUAUUUCAUUGAUCAUAACACAGAAGAAGAUAGGUAUUUCACCAUUGAUGCUAGUACUGGGACCAUUAAGACUGCCAAGAUCUUUGACAGAGAGGAGACCCCUUGGUACAACAUCACAGUGGCUGCUUCUGAGAUAGACAAUCCUGGGCUAGUGAGCCAUGUUCCAGUUGUUGUUAGAAUCCUGGAUGUCAAUGACAACCCUCCAGAGCUUGCCAGAGAGUAUGAUGUUGUUGUCUGUGAGAAUGCAAAGCCUGGUCAGGUAAUUCAGACUAUCACUGCAACUGACAAAGAUAAUUCUGCAAAUGGGGCAAGAUUCCACUUUUCCCUUGAUGAAGCACUUUCUUGGAAUCCCAACUUUACUCUAAGGGACAAUGAAGGUAA